UACGUAGGGGGCAAGCGUUGUCCGGAAUCAUUGGGCGUAAAGAGCGUGUAGGCGGCUCGAUAAGUCUGCUGUGAAAGUCCAGGGCUCAACCCUGGAAGGCCGGUGGAAACUGUCGGGCUAGAGUCCGGAAGAGGCGAGUGGAAUUCCCGGUGUAGCGGUGAAAUGCGCAGAUAUCGGGAGGAACACCAAUGGCGAAGGCAGCUCGCUGGGACGUUACUGACGUUGAGACGCGAAAGCGUGGGGAGCAAACAGG
rnacentral:rRNA from 1 species